rnacentral:piRNA from 1 species
UGUAUGUUCACAUUUGGCAGGCAUAGA